rnacentral:rRNA from 1 species
UACAGAGGGUGCGAGCGUUAAUCGGAAUUACUGGGCGUAAAGUGUGCGCAGGCGGCCGAGCAAGUCGAGUGUGAAAGCCCCGAGCUUAACUUGGGAACUGCGCUCGAAACUACUUGGCUAGAGUGUGGCAGAGGGAGGUGGAAUUCCACGUGUAGCGGUGAAAUGCGUAGAGAUGUGGAGGAACACCGAUGGCGAAGGCAGCCCCCUGGGCUAACACUGACGCUCAUGCACGAAAGCGUGGGGAGCAAACAGG